rnacentral:rRNA from 1 species
AUUGAACGCUGGCGGCAUGCUUUACACAUGCAAGUCGAACGGUAACAGGCCGCAAGGUGCUGACGAGUGGCGAACGGGUGAGUAAUGCAUCGGAACGUGCCCAGUCGUGGGGGAUAACGCAGCGAAAGCUGCGCUAAUACCGCAUACGAUCUCUGGAUGAAAGCGGGGGACCGAAAGGCCUCGCGCGAUUGGAGCGGCCGAUGUCAGAUUAGGUAGUUGGUGGGGUAAAGGCCCACCAAGCCAACGAUCUGUAGCUGGUCUGAGAGGACGACCAGCAAGACUGGGACUGAGACACGGCCCAGACUCCUACGGGAGGCAGCAGUGGGGAAUUUUGGACAAUGGGCGCAAGCCUGAUCCAGCAAUGCCGCGUGCAGGAAGAAGGCCUUCGGGUUGUAAACUGCUUUUGUACGGAACGAAACGGUCCGGGCUAAUACCCUGGGCUAAUGACGGUACCGUAAGAAUAAGCACCGGCUAACUACGUGCCAGCAGCCGCCGUAA